GCAUCAAACCAUGUCUGAAUGUUGUUCAAGUUAUUUGGUGAAAGAUUUGACCAACUGAUCAGGAUUAACUGAGUGCACGAGCGACUUCUCCGAAUUUGUAACCUUAUUAGUCAUAAUCAUUUCAAAGUGUCCGUGACAUGAAGCUGUUUGAAUUACUAUCAGGAAUCAGUGAAGGCGAGUUCAAUUUGGUAACAAUGGCUGAUGUUUGAUAUUGGUGAACUGCCGGAGGGGAUUAAUUCCCGGCAACAGCCUGAAGGUGCGAUUUGCGUUUUAAGAACUUUAAGGUCAUGGCUAGGACAAUGCACGUACAUAAGCCAAAACUAGAUAUUUUGUGACGUCAACGAAAAUUCCAAGAUGGCGCAUACUCUAAGAAACGCAUCACGUUUUCCUUUCUUAGCUCUUUUCUGCGCUUAGCGGUUUCCUUCUCCAGCGGCACUUACUUACGAAGAGACUGAAAAUAUGACGUCUGUGUAACUUUUACGCGCGAUUCAGAGGUGAUCCUUUUGAAAUUGUGUGUUACGGUUCCAGCGCGCAUAUCUUCGCGACAAGACCAUAUCUGUUGAAAAAUAAGCUCAAAUGGAACUAUUUUAAGAAGACAGGAUGGUUGAUCACAUUUUACCUUCCACAGUACUUUAUGUUACAUUCGGAUUAUGACAUGGAUGCGUGUGAACAAGAGUUUUAUAAUGUAAUAGAGAGCAUGCACUGUAAGCUACAUUUAAGAAUUGAUGUUUGAGUCUAUCAACUCAGUCAUGAAUUUUCAGUGAAUUAAAUAGUAAGGUUUGUUGA